rnacentral:rRNA from 1 species
AUUGAACGCUGGCGGCAGGCCUAACACAUGCAAGUCGAGCGGUAGAGAGGUGCUUGCAUCUCUUGAGAGCGGCGGACGGGUGAGUAAUGCCUAGGAAUCUGCCUAGUGGUGGGGGAUAACGUUCGGAAACGGACGCUAAUACCGCAUACGUCCUACGGGAGAAAGCGGGGGGAGUCUUCGGACCUCGCGCCAUUAGAUGAGCCUAGGUCGGAUUAGCUAGUUGGUGAGGUAAUGGCUCACCAAGGCGACGAUCCGUAACUGGUCUGAGAGGAUGAUCAGUCACACUGGAACUGAGACACGGUCCAGACUCCUACGGGAGGCAGCAGUGGGGAAUAUUGGACAAUGGGCGAAAGCCUGAUCCAGCCAUGCCGCGUGUGUGAAGAAGGU